rnacentral:sRNA from 1 species
AUUUCAAGACCGUACUAGGUAGAUGGCCAACUAGAGUUCCCAGGGUUCGAAGCCUGUAACUGCUGCCGCCGCUCAAGCCCUCCAGAGCAUUGCUACGGCUGCUGCCCUUGUACUACUACCUCCAAAUACGUUCUUGCCGGUAGUGGCGGCAGCAGGACCAAUUACCUCUUUUUUGCUCUCCCUCGAGAAGCUCCAGAUGGCGUCUUCCGUGGGCAACGUGGCCGACAGCACAGGGUUAGCUGAGUUGGCACAUCGAGAAUAUCAGGCAGGAGAUUUUGAGGCAGCUGAGAGACACUGCAUGCAGCUCUGGAGACAAGAGCCAGACAAUACUGGUGUGCUUUUAUUACUUUCAUCUAUACACUUCCAGUGUCGAAGGCUGGACAGAUCUGCUCACUUUAGCACUCUGGCAAUUAAACAGAACCCCCUUCUGGCAGAAGCUUAUUCGAAUUUGGGGAAUGUAUACAAGGAAAGAGGGCAGUUGCAGGAGGCAAUUGAGCAUUAUCGACAUGCAUUGCGUCUCAAACCUGAUUUCAUCGAUGGUUAUAUUAACCUGGCAGCCGCCUUGGUAGCAGCGGGUGACAUGGAAGGGGCAGUACAAGCUUACGUCUCUGCUCUUCAGUACAAUCCUGAUUUGUACUGUGUUCGCAGUGACCUGGGGAACCUGCUCAAAGCCCUGGGUCGCUUGGAAGAAGCCAAGGUAGGUGUUUGAUAGAACACAUUUAAACAUCAGUAUUAUGAAAACUUGUACUUUUUGCCAAGUCUUCAACUCUUCAUUGAGCUAUCUUCACAAAACAGUCCUUUGAAACUGAGGAAAACUGACGGCAUGAAUCGCCUCAGAAUAGAGCAGGGCCAGGCUUUGGCAUAUCUGUUCUAAAUCUGGGGGUAAAGCAAGAACCUGAACAUUUUGGAGCCUUUCUGCUGAGCUAGACCAUCUUUAUAACACUGGGCUCUGUCAUGAUCUUAUGUGGGAAUAAAUAACAUUCCUUCAAAUCUGAGGCUUGCCUGCUGGUGACAAGCAGAGCGCCUGUGAUUUGGCUCAAGACUCCUAUAUGAUGCAGGUGCCAUUGAAAAUGCUGCUCUUCUAAGUCCUUUGUGGCUUGUAAGUGGAGAAGAAUUUCAUCCAAAUGUUACCCUGUAAUACUGGCAUUUAAAAUUCUUAUUUAACCUUCCUCCCUUCAUCUUCCUCACCCUUUUUACAGUGGAAGAAAGGCUGUUAAAAUGAUUACAAAUUAAUAAUUGGAACAUCCUGUCCCUUCUUGUCCCCACUCCCUUCCCAAGUUCCUUUUUCCUCUUUUCCAAUCCUAGUUGUCUACCUUCUUUUCUUCCUCAUUUCCUUCUUUUAUUCCUCCCCACCCCAACCCCUUAAAAAAAAAGGUCAGAAGGACAAAGCUGGUUUGUUUGGGAAAUGGACUGAUCGAAAGAAAACUUGCCAAAGUGGAAAGGUGGCUUUUAGCAUUCUGUGUUUCCAAAUAAUGAAUUUGAACACCAGGUUGGGUUAAUUAAAGCUUUUGGUAUAAUUUAAAAUUAAAUUUAUAAAUGCAGUUGUCUUGUUACAAGCCACCUUACGCAACCGCGCUGCAGGGGUGAGGAGUGGGGAGAAACCAGAAUGCUUCUGAAACUCCCACCUGUUGCUCUGAGCCCCACGCGCAUGCUAAUGCGUGGAGUGUAUGCGCAGCGUAGCUGUCUGUUUGACUGCUUCAUCCAGGGAGGGAGAAGGCUUUUCAGCACCAUCUAAUGUUAAAAGGCACUAGUUUUAAGUGCACAGCUCAUAAAUUCUGCUGACAUUUUGGAUUAACCUUAUGUAGGUUGCCAGCUAAUGAAUUGUAAUUGAUUUCAAUCUUAGCUGAUAAAUCUAAUUGGUAAUUUAUAGAACAAAUAUUUGAUAAGCUCCUAUUAAUUGUCACCCCACCAAGCGGACAGCUAACAUGAAUUGCACUUCACUGCAGCUUUAGAGAUCGGUUUAGGCUGAGACAUUGCGCCUGCCUUAGGUUGCUGACUUCUUUAUUUCAGAGCUCUGGAGACACCUAGUUUGAAAAAUGUUAUUCUGUUUUUUUGUGAGAACUUAGUAAACAAGAAAAUACUCUUGAGUGAAAUGCAAUGUAUUUCUUUUGUAAUCAGUGCAUUUGAAAAUUCAAGCCAGCAUAUUCCUAGUAGUUGGAAGCAAAAUUAAGUUGUCUUUGUAGAAAAUGAAGAGCCUUUCUUCCAGCAAAAAUCCCUGCUGUAUGCAAUAGCCCUGAUUAACCCUCUCCCUUCUGCAUGUUUCCCAUAUUACAGACUUGAGACUGUCCUCAUUCCCAUAUGUAAUAGACAUCCAAAGAAUUUCAAUUGCUUUGUUGAACUUUUACUAAUGAUCUUGUUUUUAUUUUCUCUCUUGUUUUUGGUUUUUCACCAUUGAUAUUGUAUUUAGAAGGUUUCAGGUGGGUGAAACCUCCUAUUCCAUGCGUAAGGUGCCUCGCUGAAGGGAGCUCGAGGCCUGGAUCUAGGGCAGACACACAACCUCCUCCUCCUCUUCCAGCAAGGAACGCACCGAAAAGUCACAUGAUGAGAAAUAUGGUAACGGGUUUGUAACUGCCACAGCAAAACAAUUUGCCUCCAUGCCUGAAUCUUCUGUCUUGUGGCUUCAGAAACAGCUUAAAAUAAUUUUAUUUACAAGCAAGUUAUGUAAGAGAAUGUUUUAUACUAUAGCCACAAUUCUGUCAAAGAUAAGUAAAAGUUAAUUGAUAUUAAAAAUUAUUAGAGAUAAUUUACUUAGUAAAAGCUUCUAACUCUUCUUGUUGUUCAUUUUUUUUCCUUUUUUCUUCUUUGUUUGGAUUGCAGCAUUCUGCUCUUCUGAUGAUGCGCUGUGACCCUGCAGUAGCGCAAAGGCUGCGCAGCGUUAAUGCGCAUUGCGUGCGAAUGAACCCCUGUGAACGGUUGACUAGAUGAGUAAUCUGAUUGACUGGCUCCCUCAGUCCUAUUCUGUAGCCUUUUUGGAUAAAAUUGGGUUUUAACAUACCUCGAGUCCAACUAAUCUCAUUAAAUGAAUAUUCUCUAUGGGCCUGUCUAGUAGAUUAAUGGAUCUGGUUGGCCGUUUGCUGCGUCUAGGGGUGUUCUAUGUAGCGCAGCAGUUCGCAGCGAUUGCGCAGUGCGAUGCUGUUAGGUUGCGCAAGCGAUGUUUGCGCUUGCAUUACAGGGACCUCAACCUAGGUGCAAUCCUGUCAUGUGAGGUUUCAGCUUCAGUCCUCCUUGGGAGACAGGGGCAUUGUGAGAAUGUAACUUAAAGCCUGGCUUUAUGAUAUCCUACUUGGCAGGAAGACAUUUUUCUCCUCAGUAGCAUAGUUUUGGUGUUAGUGAGGAACAUUGUUGAAGAGCAGCAUUUCCCAAAAUGUGUUUCAUAGUAUUCUAAUAAAAUGCCCAAUGAAAGAAGAGUUCCAUGGUCAACUAAGUUCAGGAAACCCUGUUAUACUAUUAAAGGCUUAGGGAAGUCCAGUAAAGAAACUUAUUUUCCGAAUUUAUUUGAUCAUGAACUCCUUUUUUUUUCAGCCAUACCUCUUAACACCUCAUAGAACACACUUUGGGAAACAGUGGAGGUAGGAAAACUCGGCCUCAAGUUGCGCCCUCUAGAUAGCACUUGAAAACAUGACAAGGGCCCGUAGUUGUUUGGAUAAGAGAACUCCAGCAUAGAGCCUUAUAGCAACUGACUUCCCAGUUAAGUCCCAGUGUAAGGGUUGGUCUUUGGUUGGCAGAACUGAACAUGGUGGUUUGCACUUGGGUUCUGGUGGCGCAGGCGCAGGAGCAGCCAGCUGUGGCAGCGCAUUAGUUUUGGCGCAAGCGAGCCUAUGCUGCAGGGUCACUUUUGGCUGGUCAGAGAAGGAAUAAUGAUAUCACCUUCUUCCCCCCCUCCCCCCAAUCUUUUUUUUUUCCCUUUACAAAUUUUCCCCUUUCCCUUUACCUCCUUUCCCUCCCAUCUUCUUUCAUUAACCCCUCCUAAGGCAUGUUAUUUGAAAGCAAUUGAGACGCAACCGAACUUUGCAGUAGCUUGGAGUAAUCUUGGCUGUGUUUUCAAUGCACAAGGGGAAAUUUGGCUUGCAAUUCAUCACUUUGAAAAGGCUGUCACCCUUGACCCAAACUUUCUGGAUGCUUAUAUCAAUUUAGGAAAUGUCUUGAAAGAGGCACGCAUUUUUGACAGGUUGCUGAAGCAGAAGAUUGUUAUAAUACAGCUCUCCGUCUGUGUCCCACCCAUGCAGACUCUCUGAAUAACCUAGCCAAUAUCAAACGAGAACAGGGAAACAUUGAAGAGGCAGUUCGCUUGUAUCGUAAAGCAUUAGAAGUCUUCCCAGAGUUUGCUGCUGCCCAUUCAAAUUUAGCAAGUGUACUGCAGCAGCAGGGAAAACUGCAGGAAGCUCUGAUGCAUUAUAAGGAGGCUAUUCGAAUCAGUCCUACCUUUGCUGAUGCCUACUCUAAUAUGGGAAACACUCUAAAGGAGAUGCAGGAUGUUCAGGGAGCCUUGCAGUGUUAUACGCGUGCCAUCCAAAUUAAUCCUGCAUUUGCAGAUGCGCAUAGCAAUCUGGCUUCCAUUCAUAAGGAUUCAGGGAAUAUUCCAGAAGCUAUAGCUUCUUACCGCACAGCUCUGAAACUUAAGCCUGAUUUUCCUGAUGCUUAUUGUAACUUGGCUCAUUGCCUGCAGAUUGUCUGUGAUUGGACAGACUAUGAUGAGCGAAUGAAGAAGUUGGUCAGUAUUGUGGCUGACCAGUUAGAGAAGAAUAGGUUGCCUUCUGUGCAUCCUCAUCAUAGUAUGCUAUAUCCUCUUUCUCAUGGCUUCAGGAAGGCUAUUGCUGAGAGGCACGGCAACCUGUGCUUAGAUAAGAUUAAUGUUCUUCAUAAACCACCAUAUGAACAUCCAAAAGACUUGAAGCUCAGUGAUGGUCGGCUGCGUGUAGGAUAUGUGAGUUCCGACUUUGGGAAUCAUCCUACUUCUCACCUUAUGCAGUCUAUUCCAGGCAUGCACAAUCCUGAUAAAUUUGAGGUGUUCUGUUAUGCCCUGAGCCCAGAUGAUGGCACAAACUUCCGAGUGAAGGUGAUGGCAGAAGCCAAUCAUUUCAUUGAUCUUUCUCAGAUUCCAUGCAAUGGAAAAGCAGCUGAUCGCAUCCAUCAGGAUGGAAUUCAUAUCCUUGUAAAUAUGAAUGGCUAUACUAAGGGUGCUCGAAAUGAGCUUUUUGCUCUCAGGCCAGCUCCUAUUCAGGCAAUGUGGCUGGGAUACCCUGGGACAAGUGGUGCGCUUUUCAUGGAUUAUAUUAUCACUGAUCAGGAAACUUCGCCAGCUGAAGUUGCCGAGCAGUAUUCUGAGAAAUUGGCUUAUAUGCCCCACACUUUUUUUAUUGGUGAUCAUGCUAAUAUGUUCCCUCACCUGAAGAAAAAAGCAGUCAUCGAUUUUAAGUCCAAUGGGCACAUUUAUGACAAUCGGAUAGUUCUGAAUGGCAUCGACCUCAAAGCAUUUCUUGAUAGUCUACCAGAUGUGAAAAUUGUCAAGAUGAAGUGUCCUGAUGGAGGAGACAAUGCAGAUAGCAGUAACACAGCUCUUAAUAUGCCUGUUAUUCCUAUGAAUACUAUUGCAGAAGCAGUUAUAGAAAUGAUUAACAGAGGACAGAUUCAAAUAACAAUUAAUGGAUUCAGUAUUAGCAAUGGACUGGCAACUACUCAGAUCAACAAUAAGGCUGCAACUGGAGAGGAGGUUCCCCGUACCAUUAUUGUAACCACCCGUUCUCAGUACGGGUUACCAGAAGAUGCCAUUGUAUACUGUAACUUUAAUCAGUUGUAUAAAAUUGACCCUUCUACUUUGCAGAUGUGGGCAAACAUUCUGAAGCGUGUUCCCAAUAGUGUACUCUGGCUGUUGCGUUUUCCAGCAGUAGGAGAACCUAAUAUUCAACAGUAUGCACAAAACAUGGGCCUGCCCCAGAACCGUAUCAUUUUUUCACCUGUUGCUCCUAAAGAGGAACACGUCAGGAGAGGCCAGCUGGCUGAUGUCUGCUUGGACACUCCACUCUGUAAUGGGCACACCACAGGGAUGGAUGUCCUCUGGGCAGGGACCCCCAUGGUGACUAUGCCAGGAGAGACUCUUGCUUCUCGAGUUGCAGCUUCCCAGCUCACUUGCUUAGGUUGUCUUGAGCUUAUUGCUAAAAACAGACAAGAAUAUGAAGACAUAGCUGUGAAGCUGGGAACUGAUCUAGAAUACCUGAAGAAAAUUCGUGGCAAAGUCUGGAAGCAAAGAAUAUCUAGCCCUCUGUUCAACACCAAACAAUACACAAUGGAACUAGAGCGGCUCUAUCUACAGAUGUGGGAGCAUUAUGCAGCUGGCAACAAACCUGACCACAUGAUUAAGCCUGUUGAAGUCACUGAGUCAGCGUAAAUAAAGACUGCACAGGAGAAUUACCCCUAUACCUGAGCCUCAACCUUCUGGGGGAAAGGGAACUAGAUAACAUACUUCUUACUUGUCUGUACAGGACCUUGUUGCAGAUGGGUGAUAUAUAAUGGUAAUAGAAUAGCACAGCCAGACUUGCUUCCUGCAUGGUAGGGAGAGACACAAGAGAUGGGAAACUGCUGUUCCACAAGGAAUCUCUAUAGAAUUUUGCGGCGACCAGAUGGUGCAUAGGUCUGGAAGGUCUGAUCUCCCUUGGUCUUCCAUGGGAUGGUUAGUGUGGAGGGGAGAUAUAGAUUGUCCGGCCGCUUUGUGAUUCCGUGGAUUGAUUCAGUCUUCUGGAUUAACUUUUUUCUUUCUAUUUUGGGUACUGGAGCUUUUAAAAAUGUUUGGUUUCAGGUAUUUUUAUUCAUGUGAAGUGUAUAUGAUUCUCUUGAGAUAAGGUUUUAAGCUAAAAUGUUACUCCCUGUUUUAGUUUCUGAACUCUGACAAAUCGACAGGGACUUUGCUGGUGUAGUCUUUUUAUAGGUUUUAUAAACCACUUGAGCCUAUAUCAGUCGUUUUAGUGUCUGACCUGAUAUUUGGAGCUAUCAGUGCUUUGUUGAUUUAGAUGAUGACUCAAGAUUUUUUCUGGUCCAUUUCCCAUUUCCUUCUCUUCCUUGACCCCCAUACCCCCACCCUUAAAAUUCUCCUGUAACUCAACUAACAAAAUCAAGCCUGAUUCAAAACAUCCUAGGGUGUUGCUCUUAAACACACCAUCUGGUGCCAAAUGAAGAUUUUUAGGAGUGAUUACUAAUUAUCAAGGGCACAGUUGUGGUACUGUCAUUGAUAAUAAUAUAGUUUUUUUUCCCCUAA